rnacentral:piRNA from 1 species
ACCUGAUGACAUCAUCUCCAUGAACC